rnacentral:tRNA from 1 species
GCGCCCGUGGCUCAAUAGGACAGAGCAACGGCCUUCUAAGCCGUGGGUUGCAGGUUCGAGUCCUGCCGGGCGCGCCA